rnacentral:rRNA from 1 species
CCUACGGGGGGCAGCAGUGGGGAAUAUUGCACAAUGGGGGAAACCCUGAUGCAGCGACGCCGCGUGAGUGAAGAAGUAAUUCGGUAUGUAAAGCUCUAUCAGCAGGGAAGAAAAUGCCGGUACCUGAGUAAGAAGCCCCGGCUAACUACGUGCCAGCAGCCGCGGUAAUACGUAGGGGGCAAGCGUUAUCCGGAUUUCCUGGGUGUAAAGGGAGCGUAGACGGCAGUGCAAGUCUGGAGUGAAAGGCGGGGGCUCAACCCCCGGACUGCUCUGGAAAUGGUACGGCUGGAGUGCAGGAGAGGUAAGUGGAAUUCCAAGUGUAGCAGUGAAAUGCGUAGAUAUUUGGAGGAACACCAGUGGCGAAGGAGACUUACUGGACUGUAACUGACGUUGAGGCUCGAAAGCGUGGGGAGCAAACAGGAUUAGAUACCCCAGUAGUC